ACGCUCGACACCUACGGAGGCAGCAGUGGGGAAUAUUGCACAAUGGGGGAAACCCUGAUGCAGCGACGCCGCGUGGAGGAAGAAGGUCUUCGGAUUGUAAACUCCUGUUGUUGGGGAAAAAGAGGAUGGUACCCAACAAGGAAGUGACGGCUAACUACGUGCCAGGAGCCGCGGUAAUCUGAGCGGGCUGGCAAGGC
rnacentral:rRNA from 1 species